rnacentral:snRNA from 1 species
GUGCUCGCUUUGGCAGCACAUAUACUAAAAUUG